rnacentral:rRNA from 1 species
UACGGAGGGGGCUAGCGUUGUUCGGAAUUACUGGGCGUAAAGCGCGCGUAGGCGGCUUUGUAAGUUAGAGGUGAAAGCCCGGAGCUUAACUCCGGAACUGCCUUUAAGACUGCAUCGCUAGAAUUGUGGAGAGGUAAGUGGAAUUCCGAGUGUAGAGGUGAAAUUCGUAGAUAUUCGGAAGAACACCAGUGGCGAAGGCGACUUACUGGACACAUAUUGACGCUGAGGUGCGAAAGCGUGGGGAGCAAACAGG